CGACUCCACCACUGUCAAACUUGUCGACACACAAAAAAAGACAAGUAUUUUUUAAAUAUUUGUAUUUGUCUGAAAUGUAAGUUGAAUCUUCAGAUUCAACUACAUACAUAUGUACAUAUAAAAUUGUAAUAUAAGAUAUGCCGGGUCGUUGAUGCUGAGGAAUGUCAAGUCAGCACAACGGCUUCAGGUAAAUUUAGGAAAUAAGAUUUUUGGUAAAGAAUAAAAUGAUGAUUAAUAAACUGGACGGCAAGCCGCUCAGUACGGUAAACCGGAGUUUCAUUAUAUCGUAAUUGGCGCAGUCGAACGGAACGGUUCCAUAUUCUCUCUCAGCUUCGCUCAGCUAGCAAAGAAAAGCUAAAUAAAAGCUAAAUAAAUUAUUAUUAAACAAAAGUACUGUUAUUAAAAGAAAAGUGACAAAGAUACAGCUAAUCAUAUAAAUCCCAAAGCAGAACAAAAUAAUACAUUUGAGUUGGAAAAUUAUAGCAAAAGCAAAAACAUAAUUCAAAAAGUGAAAAAAUUUGUGAAAAGUGCAAAACAAAAAUUAUUUUGAGAAAAAAUAAAGAAAACUGUUGAAAACACUAAAACGGCAACAGCGGAGACAGCAGAAGCAGCUUUAACAAAAAAAAAAAAAAAAAAACAGCAAUAUAAACAGCAGCAACAGCGGAGACAGCAGCAAGAUCUUCAGCAAAAAAAAAAAAAAAACAACAACAUCAACAGCAACAACAGCAGCAGCAGCUAUAGUGCAGAAAAGUAUUACAAGUGAUGGAGCUGACCGGAAACGAAGGCGGCGACGAAAACCACGAGAAGGAUGGUGAACGAAAUUCAAGCUACUGACAGCGGCAAAGGGAAA